AUGGAUCCUUGGAGGAUUAGACAGAUUUUAAUUGAAUUACAUGGUAUGACUUCAGAGCGCCAAUUCUGGACAGUGUCUAAUAAGUGGGAAGUACCUUCUGUCUAUAGUGCUGUUAUCCUGGGAAUUAAAGACAAUUUAACAAGAGAUUUAGUUUAUAUUCUUAUGGCCAAAGGUUUGCACUGCAGUACUGUUAAGGUGAGUAAAGUGUGUAUCAAACACCUGUUAAGAAUAUGCAUUUAUGGGCCAGGUGCGGUGGCUCACAUCUGUAAUCAGCACUUUGGGAGGCCAAGGUGGGUAGAAGAAUAUGCUUUAUGGCCAGGUGCCGUGGCUCACCUAUAAUCCUGGCACUUUGGGAGGCUGAGGCAGGCAGAUCACUGAGGUCGAGACAGCCUGGGCAACAUGGUGAAACCCUGUCUCUACUAAAAAUACAAAGAUUAGCUGGGUACCUGUAAUCUCAAAUACUCUGCAGUCUGAAGUAGGAGAAUCUCUUGGGAGGUGGAGGUUAGAAUGAGCUGAGAUUAUGUCACUGCACUCCAACCUGGGUGGCAGAGCAAUACUCCAUCUCAAAAAAAAAAAAAAAAAAAAAAGUAUAUCCUUUACUAAUUUUAGCAGGAAGUCAGGAACCAGAAAUUCUUUUCCUAAUCUCUGAAAU
rnacentral:lncRNA from 1 species